UUGGUCUCGAUAAUGUUGUGUCCUUUCCUCUGUUUCUACGGUUUUUGAAUUCGGCGGAACGGCUUUACAUCUGAAUAGUAAUAUGAGAAAAGAAGGUCAGGUUAUGCAAAGGACUACAAUGACGAGCAUCAAAACAGACUACAGAGGCAAAAGUACAAGAAAGCAAGACAUCGGCGAUCACAACUCACUCAAAAACACACCCUCUCAGCACUAUAACAACGCGUGUGAAUGUUGUCACCAAUUACAUUUUUCCAUCACAGUAUGCUUGGUACCUUGCCAUGGAGGCACCGUUUGACUUCACUGUUAAAGACAUGCCUGUCCUCAGAAAAUGGUGGUGCACAGUAGGCCUACUGCUUGAGAACUUCCACCUGGAUGGGCACGGCAGAAGGUUCCCACACUUCAUGGAGGAGGCCAAACAAAUGGCGGCUGGACUACUUCCACUAGUCUUCAGACUGAAGCGAAAAAGAGAAGUGAAUGACGUUUCCAGUGACAGAAUACAAAU